UUUUUGCUGGUGCUUAUCACAGAUUGUGUUCAUACACUGAAUACAUAGAGAAAGGAGGCAAAGUAAACCCACCCCAUACACACUUCAGCCAAGGGCCUGAGCCUGGGCUAUAUUGUGAAUGGGGACCCAAGG
rnacentral:snoRNA from 1 species